rnacentral:rRNA from 1 species
CACACUGUAAACGAUGUACACUAGGUGCUGGUACGGAUGUAUCAGUGCCGUAGCUAACGUGAUAAGUGUACCGCCUGGGGAGUAUGCUCGCAAGGGUGAAACUCAAAGGAAUUGACGGGGGCCCGCACAAGCGGUGGAGCAUGUGGUUUAAUUCGAUGGUACGCGAGGAACCUUACCUGGGUUUGACAUACAGCGUGAUGGAGCAGAGAUGCUUCAGCGUAGCAAUACGACGCUGUACAGGUGC